rnacentral:rRNA from 1 species
CCUACGGGAGGCAGCAGUAAGGAAUCUUCCACAAUGGACGAAAGUCUGAUGGAGCAACGCCGCGUGCAGGAUGAAGGCUUUCGGGUCGUAAACUGCUUUUAUAUGGGAAGAUUAUGACGGUACCAUAUGAAUAAGGACCGGCUAACUACGUGCCAGCAGCCGCGGUAAUACGUAGGGUCCAAGCGAUAUCCGGAAUUACUGGGCGUAAAGCGUGUGUAGGUGGAUUAAUAAGUGUGAUGCGAAAUCCGGCGGCUCAACCGUUUGGACUGUGUCGCAUACUGUUAGUCUAGAGGACGGCAGAGGUAAGUGGAAUUACGGGUGUAGCAGUGAAAUGCGUAGAUAUCCGUAGGAACACCAAUGGCGAAGGCAGCUUACUGGGCCACACCUGACACUGAGACACGAAAGCGUGGGGAGCGAACAGGAUUAGAUACCCUGGUAGUCCACGCCGUAAACGAUGCAUACUAUUAGUAUGGGGUAUCGACCCCCUGUGCUGAGAAGCUAACGCGAUAAGUAUGCCGCCGNGGGAGGUAGAGCGCGAGAACGUUAAACUACUUAAAUUAGUAAGUUAGUUAGGCGUUGAGACGNGCCGACGGACGACGACGAGGGAGGAGG